AUGUGCUAAACAUUGUUUCUCGCAUAGAUCGAGUGUGCAACGUUUCAUAACAAAACACGGCGGCUUGCCGGCCAUCGUGCCCUUCGUAUCUGCAUGCAUGCGAUCACAACAGUAACUUCCCAGUUACUAACAUCCAAAUAUGUAUGAAAAUAUUUAGAGAAAAGAAGACCAAAGAAAUGUACGUACCUAUGAUCCUUCCUUCUACUAGAGAGGGCAAGGAAGUGGUAGACAUGACAACAAGAGCCAGAAGGCACAUAGCCUGCCCGCUGUUCUUGAUAAGCGCCAUUAGGAGUACUUGAGUAGCUAGCUUUCUUGUUG
rnacentral:lncRNA from 1 species